rnacentral:rRNA from 1 species
UACGAAGGGGGCUAGCGUUGUUCGGAAUUACUGGGCGUAAAGCGCGUGUAGGCGGCUUGGCAAGUCGGGUGUGAAAGCCCCGGGCUCAACCUGGGAAGUGCACUCGAAACUGCUUGGCUUGAGUACUGGAGAGGGAAGCGGAAUUCUCGGUGUAGAGGUGAAAUUCGUAGAUAUCGAGAGGAACACCGGUGGCGAAGGCGGCUUCCUGGACAGUUACUGACGCUGAGACGCGAAAGCGUGGGGAGCAAACAGG